GAUGAACGCUGGCGGCGUGCCUAAUACAUGCAAGUCGAGCGAACGGACGAGAAGCUUGCUUCUCUGAUGUUAGCGGCGGACGGGUGAGUAACACGUGGAUAACCUACCUAUAAGACUGGGAUAACUUCGGGAAACCGUAGCUAAUACCGGAUAAUAUUUUGAACCGCAUGGUUCAAAAGUGAAAGACGGUCUUGCUGUCACUUAUAGAUGGAUCCGCGCUGCAUUAGCUAGUUGGUAAGGUAACGGCUUACCAAGGCAACGAUGCAUAGCCGACCUGAGAGUGUGAUCCGCCACACUGGAACUGAGACACGGUCCAGACUCCUACGGGAGGCAGCAGUAGGGAAUCUUCCGAAAUGCGCGAACGCCUGACGGAGCAACGCCGCGUGAGUGAUGAAGGUCUUCGGAUCGUAAAACUCUGUUAUUAGGGAAGAAAAUAUGUGUAAGUAACUGCGCACAUCUUGACGGUACCUAAUCAGAAAGCCACGGCGAACUACG
rnacentral:rRNA from 1 species